CCUACGGUAGGCAGCAGUGGGGAAUAUUGCACACUGGGGGAAACCCUGAUGCAGCGACGCCGCGUGAGUGAAGAAGUAUUUCGGUACGUAAAGCUCUAUCAGCAGGGAAGAAAAAAAGUCCUUUGGACUUUGGACGGUACCUGACCAAUCAGCCCCGGCUAACUACGUGCCAGCCGCCGCGGUAAUACGUAGGGGGCAAGCUUGAUCCGGAGUGACUGGGUGUAAAGGGAGCGUAGACGGCAGUGCAAGUUUGGAGUGAAAUGCCGGGGCCCAACCCCGGGACGGCUCUUGGAACUGCGCGGCUGGAGUGCAGGAGGGGCAGGCGGAAUUCCUGGUGUAGCGGUGAAAUGCGUAGAUAUCAGGAGGAACACCGGUGGCGAAGGCGGCCUGCUGGACUGCGACUGACGUUGAGGCCCGAAAGCGUGGGGAGCAAACAGGAUUAGAUACCCCAGUAGUC
rnacentral:rRNA from 1 species